AUCAAAGUGACCAUUCACUCAAGUGAAGAAGACUAGGGAAAAAGAUUUUUGACGAAACGGGAAGUGAGUUUGGAAAGGCGUAAGGAGCUUGAAAGGUACCGACGACAGGUUUGCUGAUCCGUCUGCUUAGGAUCUCAUUCUGCUAUUUUUGGAGCGCUCUUUUAUUCAGAGCCAUCUUUUGGUAUAGUCUGUCACUUCUAUAUAUGUAUAUUUCUCGUUCAUGGGUACGGCGGGGCCCUGUCCCGUCAUAUGAUUCUGUCGGUCUGUUAGAGGUCUGUGGACAUGU